rnacentral:rRNA from 1 species
AUGGCUGGCCGGGGGAAUGCGCCUCCGCCCGCGGCAAGCGGCGUGGCAGGUCGGGGAGGAGCUGCUCCGCCGGUUCAGGGGUCUGGCCGUGAAGCCCCUCCGAUCGGGCUUCGGCCGCCUGCGCCGGUCGGGGGCGCUGCUGGGCGUGGUGGUGCGCCCCCGCCGCAGCACAACCGCAGUGCUCCGCCUCCUCCUUUACGGCAGCCGGGAGGCAACCAAGUCCCCUCGACCCAGGGAGCCCGGGUCUCGGCGACGUUGCCGACGACGGCGGGUCGGGGCGGACUAAGGCCUGUGGCGCCGGUUCACCGGGGUGAGCAUCGGCCCCCCCUUCCGGUGGCCACUUCAUCGGUGACUGCUGCGGUGGGUUCGACCGGGACCGGACCCGCGGCGCCGGGGAUAGAUGCGGCCGGCCGGGCGGGAGGAUCAACCGAGUCUGGGAGUGUGCAUCAUGGUGGUCAGCAGCGGGCGUCACCGCAUCAUCUGGCCGUUCCGCAUGCGCAAAACAGGAUUGGGCAGACUCAGGCUCAGGGCGGGCAGGCUACAACCCAUUUUACUGCUAGGGAUUUGCUGUACAUGGACUCUAUGGAGGAUGUGAUCAAGAAGAUAUACACAGAGAUGGAGUUUGAUCUGUUUGACGAAGAUGACUUGCCAUGUUCAGACUCUCUACCUAGCAGCAGCAACCAGGAUGAGGGCAAGGGCAACAAGAGCCGGAGCAGCCAGAGGAACUGCGCCAGCAGCUCAAGCGCUCCCACGCUUCACACGAGGAGCAGACACCAGGACAGGCACGAGGAGCAGCUGGCGCGAGCGAGUGAGCGGCGGAACAGGGAGCGCAGGCUCUCCUCCUUCACCAGCUGGGUGCCGGACCUGCGCCGCGUGUGGGCGCUCAAGCACCCCGGGAAGGAGCCUCCCCUGGCGGUUGCGGUGCCUCGGUCCAGGCAGCAUUCGAAGCGGAGGAAGCGGCGUGCGGCGUGCACCGACAUGGUCUGCGAGACGCCCAUGACGGUCGCGAAGAAGCAGCAGCCGGAGCAGGCCGGGUCGGGGUCUGACGAGAUGAUGUCGAUCGGGUCCGUGUCAAAGACCUUGUUCGACGACGACACGGAGAAGCUUGGAGGGUUUCUGAGCUCCAGGGAAGGAAUUUCUCAUCAGUAUGGAAGUGUCCUGAUUGUGGUGGUGGGCCGGGCUGAUUACUCAUUCAUUCCGUUGUUGAACUUCGGCAUCUGUUUCAGCUCCCCAAAUCGCUUCCUGCACGCCACAAAUCGAAGCCUCAAAGCCUCCAAAUCACCCAUAAAUCAGCCCAUCCCCAACCCUAAACCACCGGCGGCGUCAAAUCAAGCAAGCAGGUGGGCGUCGACGCCACAUCUUGUCCAGCCGGCGCCUCAACCCGUCUCACCGGCGACGCCUCGUCUCAUCCCGCCGGCGCCGCAGCCCGUCCUGCGACGGCCUCAUCCCGCUGGCGGCCUCCUUUGCACGGGACAUGUUUGCUCACGAGGCUGCAGCAACGAGUGUAGCAGGUACUUCGGGUCAAGGCCGUUGCUGGGCGCCGCCUGCUACAUCUGCUUGGCUACACGACUGAGAAUAUUGACGACUCCGAUCCGCAAGCAUGAUACGGCUAGAGCCUCCCGACAGGCAAGAGCGUCAAGGCAUGCUGGAUUGGUUAUGCCGGCCAUCCUUAUUGCAGAAGCUCUAAGGGCAUGA